CGUCUAUAUACGUAUAGCAUAUCAAUAAGCGGAGGAAAAGAAACUAACAAGGAUUCCCCUAGUAACGGCGAGUGAAGCGGGAAGAGCUCAAAUUUGAAAUCUUAAAGGGUUUCCCUUUACGAAUUGUAGUUUAAAGAAGUGUUUUCUGUUGGAGUUUCGGUAAAAGUUCUUUGGUAUAGGACAUCAUAGAGGGUGAGAAUCCCGUAUUUGACCGUUACUUUCCAGCUUUGUGAUACACUUUCAAAGAGUCGGAUUGUUUGGGAAUGCAGUCCAAAAUGGGUGGUAAAUUUCAUCUAAAGCUAAAUAUUGGCGAGAGACCGAUAGCGAACAAGUACCGUGAGGGAAAGAUGAAAAGAACUUUGAAAAGAGAGUUAAACAGUACGUGAAAUUGUCAAAAGGGAAGCGUUUGACACCAGUGUUGUUUUUUCGAAAAUCAAUUAAAUAAUGAUUAAUUUUGAGUAGUUAUGACUUUAUCAGCUUGCUGCUUUCUUUUUGAUUAUUAUUUAAUGCACUUUUCGUUUAACAAGUCAACAUCAAUUUCUUUUGUUGUAAAAGGGUAAGAGGAAGGUGGCUUUAACUUCGGUUAAAGUGUUUAUAGCCUUUUAACCUCUGCAAUCGGAGAGAUUGAGGAUCUGCAGCGUAGAUCCUUCGGGGCUAGAUGCAUUUGUGCUAAGUUAUAGCCAAGUUCAUAGGACAACUUGUUGACUAUGAUCAGUCAUGUAGCUUACUCGCUAGAUGUCAUUUUACCUACGCUUAGGAUGUUGAUAUGCAUGACUGAUAU
rnacentral:rRNA from 1 species